UCCCCUAGUAACUGCGAGUGAAGCGGGAAAAGCUCAAAUUUAAAAUCUGGCAGUGUUUAGCUGUCCGAAUUGUAGCCUAGAGAAGUGUUGCCNGUGCUGGACCAUGUACAAGUCUCCUGGGAUGGAGCGUCAGAGAGGGUGAGAAUCCCGUAUUUGACAUGGACUACCAGUGCAUUGUGGUAUGCUCUCAAAGAGUUGAGUUGUUUGGGAAUGCAGCUCUAAAUGGGUGGUAAAUUCCAUCUAAAGCUAAAUAUUGGCGAGAGACCGAUAGCGAACAAGUACCGUGAGGGAAAGAUGAAAAGAACUUUGGAAAGAGAGUUAAACAGUAUGUGAAAUUGUUGAAAGGGAAACGUUUGAAGUCAGUGACAUUGGCUGGGGAUCAGUGCAGCUCUUUUGCUGGAUGGAGUUCCUGGUUGAUGGGCCAANAUGAGUUUUGACUGCUGGAGAAAGGCCAGGGGAAUGUGGCACCUUUGGGUGUGUUUAUAGCGCCUGGUUGUAUGCAGCGGUUGGGACUGAGGAANUAAAAGCAGCGCGCCGCAAGGCAGGGUUUCGACCACGUUCGCGCUUANGAUGUUGGCAAUAAUGGCUUUAAGCGACCCGUCUUGAAACACGGA
rnacentral:rRNA from 1 species